GGGCCCGCACAAGCGGUGGAGCAUGUGGUUUAAUUCGAUGAUACGCGAGGAACCUUACCAGGGUUUAAAUGCAGAACGACAGGGUGGAAACACCCCUUCUUCGGACGGACUGCAAGGUGCUGCAUGGUUGUCGUCAGCUCGUGCUGUGAAGUGUCGGGUUAAGUCCCAUAACGAGCGCAACCCCAUUCUAGUUGCCAGCGGUUCGGCCGGGGACUCUAGAGAAACUGCCAGCGUAAGCUGUGAGGAAGGUGGGGAUGACGUCAAAUCAUCACGGCCCUUACAUCCUGGGCCACACACGUGCUACAAUGGUAGUGACAAUGGGUUAAUCCCAAAAAGCUAUCUCAGU
rnacentral:rRNA from 1 species